CCUACGGGUGGCAGCAGUGAGGAAUAUUGGUCAAUGGACGAGAGUCUGAACCAGCCAAGUAGCGUGAAGGAUGACUGCCCUAUGGGUUGUAAACUUCUUUUAUAUGGGAAUAAAACGUUCCACGUGUGGGAUUUUGUAUGUACCAUAUGAAUAAGGAUCGGCUAACUCCGUGCCAGCAGCCGCGGUAAUACGGAGGAUCCGAGCGUUAUCCGGAUUUAUUGGGUUUAAAGGGAGCGUAGGUGGAUUGUUAAGUCAGUUGUGAAAGUUUGCGGCUCAACCGUAAAAUUGCAGUUGAAACUGGCAGUCUUGAGUACAGUAGAGGUGGGCGGAAUUCGUGGUGUAGCGGUGAAAUGCUGAGAUAUCACGAAGAACUCCGAUUGCGAAGGCAGUUCACUGGACUGCAACUGACACUGAGGCUCGAAAGUGUGGGUAUCAAACAGGAUUAGAUACCCCAGUAGUC
rnacentral:rRNA from 1 species